rnacentral:lncRNA from 1 species
UAUGGGAUAUGGAAAAAGGUUUACGGCGUUAUAUACACACCACCACCUGAUCAGCUGAUAUAUGAUGAUGAUGUUGCCCACAAUGGCUGAAAUAUGACUCAGACGGCAUUAUAUACGCGUAUAUAUGUAUAUAUACGUAUAUGGGAUAUGGGAAAAAGUUACGACGUUAUAUAUGCACCACCACCUGAUCAGCUGGUAUACGAUGAUGAUGUUGCCCAUUGUGGCUGAAAUGAUAUGAUGGGAUGCCCUCAGAGGCUUGAUGAUGAUAUAUACGUACAGACCUAUGCAUUACAUGACAUUUACACGCAUAUGCAUGACGUUAUAAAUAUUUCAUAAUUUACAGAGCUAUCUAGACUUACAGGUUGAAUCCUUUACUCCAUGUUUCUUCCAUGUUCUUUAUAUACUGAUUUACAUGCCUUACUCAGUACAUUAUUCAUACUAACGUCCUUUUGUUGGAGACGAUGUGUUUCAUGCCUGCAGGUAUAGAUAAUCAGUUUGACAAUCCCUCAUAGUAGACGAGAUUGACAUUCAGCGAAGGAUCGGUAAGACUCCACAUCAUUCGGAAAGCAACCGAGUCUAUGAGUCAUCGUUUUUUAGUUUUGCUACAGACUUAUGGGUAGGUCGGUACCCUAUCCCAUUUGAUGUCAAACAAUCUUAGAGGCUUUGUAGAUGCAUGUUGAUUAUGUACAGUAUGUCAGAGGCCUUGAUAGCCCAUAUGUAUUCAUGUUUUAUCAACGAUGGUUCAUUAAUAUAACAUUUGCC